GCUGAUAGACUACAGUCCGCCCCAGGGCAUGGGGCUUAAACAGAGACUGGCAGUAGACUGAGGCAACAUGGGGAUAGGGAGUGGGGUUUCCCCUGGAGUGGGGAAACCUAGUAAGACUGCAGGAGGCAGAACCCUGAGAUAAGGGCACUGGGGUCCUGGGAGGGACAUGGGGGCCAACGGCCCAUGGAUCACCGGCCUGCAGAGGGCACUCCUGGGUCGAAGAGCUAAUUCCUGAGGACGACCAGCAGGAGGCACUGCAGGGUGCAACCUGUGCUGGAGUUGGGUUUGAUAUAUGUAUAAAAAAGGAUCGAGCUACAUUCUGCUGAUAGGUGUGGGAAUUGUUUAUAUCAGAUGGGACCUUUGGAGAUGCAGGAGUUCAGUGGAGAAGAAAGAAUUCAACUAAGAGGAACAAUCUGAAGAAAGAAUCUUAUUCUCCCUCUUACCCAUAGUCUUUCCUGCACACCCCUCUCCUCAGAGAGCUAACUUAGCUCUGAUGGUGCUAUCCUGCACUACAGUGGAGAAGAAACUCAUCUAAAGGCAGACUAACAUGGACACCAGUGGUUCCUCUAGGGCUGAUCUCUUGCUUCAAUAGCGCACUCCCUACAGCAAAGGCAAUUUCUCUAGUGAAAUCACUGGCUGGAUUGUACUGACAGUACAAAUUAACUAUUCACUAAACCAAAAAGCUGCUCCAGCGGUUUAGAGGAUCUGGCUAAUAAGGACACCUCUCAUCUAUACCUCGAGUCUAGACAGAAAGGAUUUCAAGCAGGAAUGGUCUUGAAAUUUGGGAGACCCCAAGAUAAGGAGACCACCACAGGGAGCAUGUGGCUAUAGGAUUGGGAAGUCCCUGUGCUACUGGACUGACAUUUUCUUAGCCCAUCUUUGAGCAUAACACUGACCUCUUUGCAUCCCUCCACUGCCUCCCCCUUCUCUAUCACAUCAAACAUAAGCUACUUGUCUUCACUUUCAGGGCCCUUCACAGCCAAUCCCCAUGCUAUCUCUCAUUCACUAUCAAGAUGUCAACUCCCACUUCAGAUUAGCCAUGAAGUCAGCCCCUCCAUAGUUGGGGUUGGUCCUGCUUUGAGCUGGGGAUUGGACUAGAUGACCUCCUGAGGUCUCUUCCAACCCUAAUCUUCUAUGAUCAUGCAUUUGUUAAAUUUCCACACAAGUCUUUCCACGCUUUCUUCCACACUGCUCCACACCCAUGGGAGGCACGGUCUUUAAACAUCUGCAAAGCUACCUUGUUCUCCUCCUUCAAACUCUCCCUUGCUGUAAUGCUUACCAAAAACUUGACAAUAGUUAAGCAGCUGGUGUGCAGAGACCACUGCCCACCACACUGACCAAUACUGUCUCAUUGCUUUCCAGUACUCCCCUGGCUGUCUGCAUUGUAUCAUUUGUGGCCUCUUGCCUUAUACUUCGGUGGUAAGCUCUAUUUGUACAGUGCCUAGCACAGUGGGGUCCUGGCGUACUACCAGG